GAGAUCCAAUCAUGACCUUGGGCUAUCGGAAAAAAAUAUUUUGAGCUGGCUCGAGCCCUGUAACGUUAUCUUGUAUUUAACCUCCUUGAUAUACACAGGGAUAUACACACGUGUACUUCAUUUCAUUUCAUAUAUUGUAUACUUGUUUUGUAGUGGCGAUGAAGAUCCAGCGAAGCAAAAACCAGCGCCCAAAGUUGAAGUUCCCAAACCGAAGCCGCAGGAUACCAUUGACCAUCCCCCUUUGCCGAAGUACCCACCAAGCGAACUCUUGUAAGUGAUUUUUGUGUUUCGUUUGUCACAAUUUUAAACAUAAAUUAUGAACAACAUUACCACGUCCAACAUCAAAGACUUAACUGCUAAGUUAACACUUUUUUUGUAUUUUUUCCAGCAACCGGCCAAUG